AGAGAGAGAGAGAGAGAGAGAGAGGUGGAUCUCUUCAUCAGGAGAAUGGUCUGAGACAGAGGAAGAACAAGGGGCCGGGAAGAGGAGGACGAAGAUGUAUAUGGGUAAUAUCUGGGUAUUCGGAUACUCUAGAAUGGUGCUUUAAUCGAUUUUCCAAGCUUGCAACUUUGUGCUUUAGCACCAUUUUGGCUUCUCAUUAGUCACAGACACUUUGCAACUGGAUUGUGCUUUGCAAAAAACAGAAGGAGACGAACAAGAUUCCAGAAGCUUAAGGGCUUCAUCCAUCUCAGGUUCCCCAGUUCUUGGUGUGGGUUUCACUGGUUCUUUGUUUACCUCGCGUCCAAAGCUCGG